rnacentral:rRNA from 1 species
GUGGGGAAUUUUGGGCAAUGGGCGAAAGCCUGACCCAGCAACGCCGCGUGAAGGAUGAAGUAUUUCGGUAUGUAAACUUCGAAAGAAUGGGAAGAAUAAAUGACGGUACCAUUUAUAAGCUCCGGCUAACUACGUGCCAGCAGCCGCGGUAAUACGUAGGGAGCAAGCGUUGUUCGGAUUUACUGGGCGUAAAGGGCGCGUAGGCGGCGCGGUAAGUCACUUGUGAAAUCUCUGAGCUUAACUCAGAACGGCCAAGUGAUACUGCAGUGCUAGAGUGCAGAAGGGGCAAUCGGAAUUCUUGGUGUAGCGGUGAAAUGCGUAGAUAUCAAGAGGAACACCUGAGGUGAAGACGGGUUGCUGGGCUGACACUGACGCUGAGGCGCGAAAGCCAGGGGAGCAAAC